UUCUUUGUGGUUUAACGGUUUUAGGACGUCCGCUUGUCACUUUCUACGCUUUCAAAGCGUUGAAUCAAGCCUGCGGGAGCCCCGGGUUCGACUCCCGGCAAGGAAG